rnacentral:rRNA from 1 species
GUUAGAGGGUUUCCGCCCUUUAGUGCUGCAGCAAACGCAUUAAGCACUCCGCCUGGGGAGUACGGUCGCAAGACUGAAACUCAAAGGAAUUGACGGGGGCCCGCACAAGCGGUGGAGCAUGUGGUUUAUUCGAAGCAACGCGAAGAACCUUACCAGGUCUUGACAUCCUCUGACAACCCUAGAGAUAGGGCUUCCCCUUCGGGGGCAGAGUGACAGGUGGUGCAUGGUUGUCGUCAGCUCGUGUCGUGAGAUGUGGGUUAAGUCCCGCAACGAGCGCAACCCUUGAUCUUAGUUGCCAGCAUUCAGUUGGGCACUCUAAGGUGACUGCCGGUGACAAACCGGAGGAAGGUGGGGAUGACGUCAAAUCAUCAUGCCCCUUAUACCUGGGCUACACACGUGCUACAAUGGGCAGAACAAAGGGCAGCGAAGCCGCGAGGCUAAGCCAAUCCCACAAAUCUGUUCUCAGUUCGGAUCGCAGUCUGCAACUCGACUGCGUGAAGCUGGAAUCCUAGUAAUCGCGGAUCAGCAUGCCGCGGUGAAUACGUUCCCGGGCCUUGUACACACCGCCCGUCACACCACGAGAGUUUGUAACACCCGAAGUCGGUGAGGUAACCUUUUGGAGCCAGCCGCCGAAGUGGGACAGAUGAUUGGGGUGAAGUCG